rnacentral:rRNA from 1 species
CCUACGGGUGGCAGCAGUGGGGAAUAUUGGGCAAUGGGCGCAAGCCUGACCCAGCAACGCCGCGUGAAGGAAGAAGGCUUUCGGGUUGUAAACUUCUUUUCUCAGGGACGAAGCAAGUGACGGUACCUGAGGAAUAAGCCACGGCUUACUACGUGCCAGCAGCCGUGGUAAUACGUAGGCGGCAAGCGUUAUACGGAUUUACUGGGUGGAAAGGGCGUGUAGGCGGGACUGUAAGUCAGAUGUGAAAACCACGGGCUCAACCUGUGGCCUGCAUUUGAAACUGUAGUUCUUGAGUGCUGGAGAGGCAGGCGGAAUUCCUAGUGUAGCGGUGAAAUGCGUAGAUAUUAGGAGGAACACCAGUGGCGAAGGCGGUCUGCUGGACAGCAACUGACGCUGAGGCGCGAAAGCGUGGGGAGCAAACAGGAUUAGAUACCCCUGUAGUC